GCAGACCUGCAGCUGCAGACCAUGGAUCUAUUGCUGCAGACCCGGAGGCAGCAGAUCUGAGCAGCAGUUCUAGACGUCACAGAGCCCCCUACUGGAUUACUUUAUAACUGCAACUAAAUCAACAGUUCAGAUCGAGACUUCUCGUUUUUUUCCGGCAGCGUGCUCUUUUCUCCUUUUCUCAAGAUGGAUGACGACCGGAGUGUACACAUAACAAUCCAGAAAGGAAGGGCCUUGCCCCAACUUCACAGAUGCACAUCAUGCUGCAAUAACUACCACUGUCCAUUCUGCAGCCCUACAGUUUACUACCCCUCCCCGUUGAACAAAUGUCAGAUACACAUGGAUCUUCAUUUUAACAGAGCUGUUAGCCAUGAAGAAUACACCAUUCACAGAUGUGGACUGGGAUGUCGGCCGCAGCUGCAUUAUCACUGUCCAUACUGCAGUUCAACAAUAAAACGGCAUCAAUGUUUCAAAAGCAUUAAUAUUAGCACAACUUUAUCAGCUUGGUGGGAAUUUCUUAAAAUAGCUAAAAUUUCACUUUUUCCAUGUGACCGUACACCCAUAUGGAACAACCCAGACAUCGUGAAAAAUGAUAAAAAGAUGGUUAACUUCGUUCAAUG